CCUUAGUCCGCUGAUCCUCGCUUGGGUGCCCGCCCUUAGCGGCCCGGCGUUGAAUUCCGGGAAGUGGGAGCUUCAGGCUCGCUCCGUGCGGGUAUGGGCGCUAAUGUCACUUGGGAUGGUUGCGCAAGGACAUCGCGGCGGACACUGACAAGGAACCGGGGAGGAACGGGGGUGGGGAGAGACUGCGAUGGGACUCGGGAAGCCGGGAAGGGCCGCGCUGAAUAAGCCUAAGGGGCCGGGUCGCAAGGAGUGUCGGGUAGCACAGGCCUCGGCUCAGUCGGAGCGCCAGGCCUCAGGGUCCGGGCGGGGGCUGCUGCGUCACACCAGGCAGCCUGGGAACGCAACUGUUGGGCAACCGUGGUGGCCUCUCGCCACCUCUUACGCUUGGGCGAUCUGCGAUUGACGCAUCCUGGGAGCUGAUGUCCCGCACGGGCGGGGCGCCGGAGGAGGAGAGAAAAUAGAGACCCGGUUGUUGACAGCCUGUGAUGCCGCUUGAUUCAUGUAUCAUGUUCCUGAGAGAAACCCUCCUUUCCACAACAAACCUCCUACAUGCGCACCUCAGAAUCUCAGUCUAUUUCCUGGGAUCCCAACUUGCAGCUGCUUAC
rnacentral:lncRNA from 1 species